UACCGAGGUCUCAAGCGUUGUUCGGAUUCCUUGGGCGUAAAGGGUGCGUAGGCGGCGCGGUAAGUCGGGUGUGAAAUCUUGGAGCUUAACUCCGAAACUGCAUUCGAUACUGCCGUGCUUGAGGACUGGAGAGGAGACUGGAAUUUACGGUGUAGCGGUGAAAUGCGUAGAUAUCGUAAGGAAGACCAGUGGCGAAGGCGGGUCUCUGGACAGUUCCUGACGCUGAGGCACGAAGGUCAGGGGAGCAAACGGG
rnacentral:rRNA from 1 species